rnacentral:rRNA from 1 species
AGCGAACGCUGGCGGCAGGCUUAACACAUGCCAGUCGAGCGGGCACUUUCGGGUGUCCGCGGCGGACGGGUGAGUAACGCGUGGGAACGUGCCCUCUGGUUCGGAAUAACUCAGGGAAACUUGAGCUAAUACCGGAUACGCCCUUUUGGGGAAAGGCUUGCUGCCGGAGGAUCGGCCCGCGUCUGAUUAGCUAGUUGGUGAGGUAACGGCUCACCAAGGCGACGAUCAGUAGCUGGUCUGAGAGGAUGAUCAGCCACACUGGGACUGAGACACGGCCCAGACUCCUACGGGAGGCAGCAGUGGGGAAUAUUGGACAAUGGGCGCAAGCCUGAUCCAGCCAUGCCGCGUGAGUGAUGAAGGCCUUAGGGUUGUAAAGCUCUUUUAUCCGGGACGAUAAUGACGGUACCGGAGGAAUAAGCCCCGGCUAACUUCGUG